rnacentral:rRNA from 1 species
CGCGUAGGCGGUCUGUUAAGUGUAGAGUGAAAUCUCUAGGGCUCAACCCAGAAACUGCUCUGCAUACUGGCAGACUUGAGUGAUGAAGAGGUUUGUGGAAUUCCUGGUGUAGCGGUGAAAUGCGUUGAUAUCAGGAGGAACACCCAUGGCGAAGGCAGCAAACUGGUCAUCAACUGACGCUGAGGCGCGAAAGCGUGGGUAGCAAAUA